GACGAACGCUGGCGGCGUGCUUAACACCUGCAAGUCGAACGGUGAAGCCCAGCUUUUGCCUUGUGUGCUAGUGUCGCGCCUGUGUGCAUAAUACGAGAGUCCUUCCCUCUCCUCUCUGCCAUCCGCCUGGGAUCUGGGUUCUUAUCCUAGAUCCCAUCUCCCCCCGCCUUGUGGUUUGGGAAAUUGGCUUGGUUGGUUUUGGAUGGGCUGACGGCUCAUCAGCUUGUUGGUGGGGUACUGGCUCACCCAGGCCACGACGGGCCGCCGGCAUGAGAGGGUGACCGGCCACACUGGGACUAAGACACGGCCCAGACGCCUACGGGAGGCAGCAGUGGGGAAUAUUGCACAAUGGGCGGAAGCCUGAUGCAGCGACGCCGCGUGAGGGAUGACGGCCUUCGGGUUGUAAACCGCUUUCAGCACGGAAGAAGCGAAAGUGACGGUACGGGCAGAAGAAGCGCCGGCUAACUACGUG
rnacentral:rRNA from 1 species